rnacentral:sRNA from 1 species
GCCAGGUAUGGUGGUGUAUGCCUAUAAUCCUAGCAGCUUCGGAGGCUGAGGCAGGAAGAUCGCAAGUUCAGAGCCAGCCUCAGCAAAAGCAACUCAGUGAGACUCUGUCUCUA